CAGCUGUCCCUCACUUAUCACAAAAGGAGUCCUCUCACCCUAUAGAGAUGAUCCUAAAAUGUGAGAUGCAAGUUAAGCCUUAUUAUAUAAUAAGUGCAAUAUGUGGGCUUCAGUUUAAUUGGUUUACCCCUUCCCACAUAUUGUCUACAUCAUAUGAUGAGAGCAUCAAAGUUUGGUCAGAGUUCUACCUCAACUAACGUGGCAGUGGUUUUUUCAUGCAUGUCCCAAGCACUUUUAUUUUCUAAUCCAUUUAUUCCAUACCCUUGGUUCCAUGGCCCAACUAAAUACUUCCUUCAAAAUGGAACAUUUAUGUACCACAAUAAAAACACCAAAAGGAACAUUUAUGUACCACAUUUAAAACACCAAACUUCAGCGCUACUAAACAAAAGAAGCCAGAUCAAAACUAUUGGAUGAUGAGUUUGCAUCCAAACAAGUUUGUGUGUGUAGUUGUUAACACAGAAAAAAUGGUUCUGUUAUGCGUUCCUUAUUAGAAACUCAAAGGGUCAAGUUUAUAGACUUAGCAGUACAACUGACUACCUAAAAAAUAGGAAACUACCUCACACACUAACAGCAUAUCUUAAGUGUGUGCAAGACUUAGCAAUACAACUUACUACCUAGAAAAUAGGAAACUACCUCACACACUAACAGCAUAUCCUAAGUGUGAGAGAAAGUAGGAAUUGAAAGCAACAAACAAUUAAUUAAAAACAAACAAUAGAAAUAAUUCUAAAAAUCAAAUUGACUUAUUCAACAAUUCCUCCCUUAAACUGUAUGCUCCUUGCAACAGUUUAUCUCAGACUCAUCAAGCAUUCCUAGAGCACUCAACAUAUGUUGGAAUUCUUCAACUUUAAGUGGCUUUGUCAUGAUGUGUGCUAACUGAUCUCUUGUAUUGCAAUAAUUCAGCUCAAUAACACCAUCAUUACAUAAAUUUCUCAAAAAAUGAAAUCGAACAUCAAUAUGUUUACUUCUUCCAUGCAAAACUGGAUUUUUGGAUAAUUUAAUUGUUGAGACAUUAUCACAAAACACCACAGUAGCUCCUUCUUGACAAUGACUUAGAUGUUCCAAAAUUCUUCUCAACUAAACACAUUGACAAACACAUAACGCGGCUGCUAUAAACUCUGCUUCUGUUGUGGAUAAGCUAACAACCGACUGCUUCUUCGACACCCAAGAAAUAACACCUCCUCCCAGCAAGAAAGCAUAGCCCGAAGUGCUCUUCCUGUCAUCAAGGUCUCCUGCAUAAUCACUGUCGGUAUAAGCAAUUAAUUCUUCAUUUCCUCCAGCCUUAUAGAAAAUUCCCAGAUUUUCUUCUUGAUUGGAUCAUAAAGUUUGUAGGCCUUAGACUCCUCACUUACACCAAACAACACACAUUUGAUACUUUUAUCAUCAAGUUUGCUCCUUUUCUGAUCAGGUACAUGAACGUAUCCAAUGCUGCCAAAGAUUCUAAAAUAUGAAACAGACGGCUUAAUUCCGCUCCAUGCUUCCUCUGGUGUGACGUUCUUGACAGCAAGAGUCGGGCUUCUGUUUAAAAUAUGAAUCACCCAUUUUACAGCUUCUGGCCAAAAAGAUCUUGGAACUCCCUUUUCCACCAAAACACUGCGAACCAUAUUUAUAAUCGUUUGAUUUUUUCUCUCAGCCACGCCAUUUUGUUGUGGCGUGUAUGAAGCAGUGAGUUGCCUUUCAAUACCAUGUUUACUGCAAAAUUCAGCAAACUCUUUAGAAAGAUACUCUCCCCCUCUAUCGGUACGUAAUAUUUGAAUGGGAGCGCCAACUUGUUUUUCAACUAAUGCUUUAAACUCUUUAAAUGCACCAAAAGUUUCACUUUUCUCCGUAAGAAAAUAUACCCAUACUUUCCUACUUAAAUCAUCAAUGAAAGUGAGUAUGUACCUUUUAUUUCCAUUGGAUGUAGGAUUGAUAGGACCACAAAUAUCUGAGUGAAUUAACUGCAACAACUGAGAUGCCCGCCAAUUACUUUGUCGUGGAAAAGGGUCUCGUUGAUGAUUCCCUUUGAGGCAAUGUUCACAAAGUUGAGAUGUUGGUUUAAAGGAGGGCAACCCUUUCACCAUGUCAUGCUCCAUUAAAGUUUUCAGUCCACUGUAGCUCAAGUGACCAUAACGAGAGUGCCAUACUUGAGCUGGUGGCACAGAACUAACCUGAAAGCAGGAUUGGGAGACUCCGGAUUUUACAUGAAUAGCAAACAUACGAUUAGUAGUCAUGUAGGUUUCAAAAAUAAGGCCAUUUUCUUUAAACACUCUACAUUUGUUUUGCUUCAUUUCAACUGUUAACCCUCUUUCCAGAAGUUGCCCCACACUAAAUAAAUUAUUUUUCAGCUCAGGCACAUAAAAUACAUCAUUUAGAAAAUGCACAACUCCGUUUAUCAAAAGUUUAACCAUACCUUUUCCACAGACCUUUAGAGCAUAAUUAUUCCCUAAUUUCACUUCAUCUGAAAAACUUUCAUCAAUGGAGGAGAACCAAUCCUUUCUUCCUGUCAUGUGGUUGCUGCAGCCUGAAUCGAUGAACCACAUGUCUUGUGUGUUUGAUUUUCCCUCUGAUGAAAGUUGUGCCAUGAGUAACACUGCUUCCUCAUUGGUCUCAACAUAAUUUGCAAUGCUGUCCUGUGGUUUCUUUGGGCAUUCAUAUUGAAAAUGUCCAAACUCAUGACAGUAAUAACAUUCCACUGCUGCCUUGUCUACUCGUUGUCUGCCUCCUCUGCCUCUUCCUCGAGCAAAUCCACUCCGAAAGUCACCUCUUCCACGGCCACGACUAGUAUUUGUCUCAUCUCGAGUUACUUUCAACACUUGCUCUUCAUAUGAAUUGUGCCCAUUCAUUCGUUGUUCGUGUACCAACAAACUACUUUGGAGUUCAUCUACAGUCAUGGAAUCCAAAACAUGAGAUUCUUCGAUAGCACACACUACAUAAUCAUACCUGGAGGUCAUUGAGCGAAGAAUCUUUUCGACAACAGUAAGAUCCGACAUUUGUUCACCGUACAUUCGCAUCUUAUUUGCAAUAGUGAGAGUUCGAGCAAAAUAGUCAUUAACUGAUUCUCCAUUCUUCAUCUGCAAAAUCUCCCACUCACGUCGUAGGGCUUGAAGCUGUGCUCGCUUCACUCUAGCAGUGCCUUGGUAUUUCUGUUUUAAGGAAUCCUAGAUCUCUUUUGAUGUCUCCUUCUUUAAAAUUGUUUCAAGCACAGAUCGAUCGAUUGCUUGAAAGAGGUAAUUCUUUACCUUCAAAUCUUUUAGCUUAAGCUCGUUCACCGUUUUUUUCUCGUUCUCCGUUAAUACAGUACCAUCAGCAUGUUGAGGAAUCCCUGGAUCUAUAAGAUUCCAAUACUCCUUUGACCUUAAAAAAUUCUCCAUGAGCAUUACCCAAUGAUCAUAAUGCUCACUCAAUUUUGGAAUUGCAGGUUGCACGAAGUUGCCAUCCGUGGUUGUAGCCAUGAUUGAAGUCUGCUGCUUCUCUUUACUUGCUAUACACCUAGCUCUGAUGCCAGAUGUUAACACAGAAAAAAUGGUUCUGUUCUGCGUUGCUUAUUUGAAACUCAAAGGGCCAAGUUUAUAGACUUAGCAGUACAACUGACUACCUAAAAAAUA
rnacentral:lncRNA from 1 species